AUUGAACGCUGGCGGCAGGCCUAACACAUGCAAGUCGAGCGGAGCGGCGGACGGGUGAGUAAUGCCUAGGAAUCUGCCUGGUAGUGGGGGAUAACGUCCGGAAACGGGCGCUAAUACCGCAUACUAUCGGGUGAGCCUAGGUCGGAUUAGCUAGUUGGGGGGGUAAAGGCCUACCAAGGCGACGAUCCGUAACUGGUCUGAGCGGAUGAACAGUCACACUGGAACUGAGACACGGGCCAGACUCCUCCGGGAGGAAGCAGUGGGGAAUAGUGGAAAAUGGGCGAAAGCCUGAUCCAGCCAUGCAGCGUGUGUGAAGAAGGUUUUCGGAUUGUAAAGCACUUUAAGUUGGGAGGCGUUACCAACAGAAUAAGCACCGGCUAACUUCGUGCCAGCCGCCGCGGUAAUUC
rnacentral:rRNA from 1 species